AUGGGGAUCCUGCUCACCAGUGGCUGGACGGAUGCUCUCCGACGAAAACUGCUAGACAAGCUGCUCGCCACCAUGGCAUCGCACACAUGUUCCAGGCGUUCCAGCGGUCGCGACGCACAUCUGCGCUGCCUACAGCUCGUGCUCCUGCUCAUGGAGGAGCUCCGCGAGGCGUCCCAGCCCCGGCCCCUCACCGACAACGCUGAAUGCUGCCUUGCCCUCCUCAGCCGCACGUUCCAAAGCCGCCCGCCGACCAGGCCGUCGCCCCCGUCGGCGUCCACCGCGACCAUCCCGCGGCGUUGGAGCCCCCGACCUGCGUGUGGCGUCCCCGCCCCGCCUCGUUCAUCGCCUUGCUCUCCUCACCUGCGCCUUCCAACGGCCCGCCGAUCGGGCCAUUGCCCCUGUCGGCGCCCACCACGACCAUCCCGCGGCGCCGGAGCCCCCGUUGAUCCGCAGAUGCUCCUCUCCGACUGUGCCCCGCCUCCUUGA
rnacentral:rRNA from 1 species